UACGUAGGGUCCUAGCGUUGUCCGGAAUCAUUGGGCGUAAAGAGCGUGUAGGCGGCUUGAUAGGUCCCGUGUUAAAGCCUGCGGCUCAACCGCAGAAUCGCACGGGAAACCAUCUGGCUCGAGUCCGGAAGAGGAGAGCGGAAUUCCUGGUGUAGCGGUGAAAUGCGCAGAUAUCAGGAAGAACACCCGUGGCGAAGGCGGCUCUCUGGGACGGUACUGACGCUGAGACGCGAGAGCGUGGGGAGCGAACAGG
rnacentral:misc_RNA from 1 species